AAUAAUUUUGCUGCAUUCAAUUGGACAUUAUAAUAGCUAUGGAAUUGGAUAUACCCGUUACGGCAUCGCUAUCGGUGGCACUGUGCGUGAGCCUGUAUGUGGGUGAAAUGAACCUGAUCACCUCCGAAUACCGCCUGGAGUUUUCUGCCGCCAUGUUCUUGGCCUGGGUAGUAUUUAUGACUGAUAGACUUCGUGCCAGCUUUCGUAUCUUCAAUCGACUAUGGAUAUUUUUGAUCGCAAUUGGUGUUUACUACUUGGUUGGCCAAGGCAUGAUAUUUUACGUGUGGCAUCCAUUCUGGGAAUUUGUUGAGGGCUAUUUGAACGCAUUUUUCGAAACCGAAUUCAUGUAUUCCUUUUACAACAACUACCCGUCGGUCGUCGUGUUCUUGCGUCACCAAUCACUGUGCAUCAUCAAAAUACUUUUGAUGCUCUUCGUUUUGUGCAAGACUCUCGCUAACUAUGUUUCCUCCGAAGACUGCCCAGAGGAUGAGUACGACGAAGUGGAAGAGCGCGAGGGGAUCCAUGAGGAGGCAUUCCAACAGCUCAUUCACACCAAUGGACCUUACCGUCUGAAUAUUCGCCACGCCCACGCCCACGUCUUUCACUAAACAUCUAAAGCCUAAAGCCUGACACACCACUACAGACACUACCGCAAAAACUACACUGCCACGGCCGAGGUAUGCGCACCUCGAUCGUUGCACAUAUAGUUUCACCAAUCAUCCAACAAACACAAGCUAAUUUCCCCACCGUUUAGGUAUACGAAUUUCCUCAUAUUUCCUUGCCAAUUCAUAGAUUGGAUAAGGCUGCAAAAUCAAAUCCAAAAUCCCAUUCCAUUUCUCUUUAAAAUAGGUAUAUCAGGCUUUACAUCAAACACAACACUUUCCAUAAUAGGAGUUUUCCUAUAUACAUUUCAUAACAAGCAAAAAUAUUAGAUUUAGAUCUAACACACCAUGCAUCUGGCGCUGUCAUUUUUGUUUUGCUCAUCCACUCUCAAGGAUUUUGCACCUGCCUAGGACUCUACAGGCAACCAAUGAAACCCACGUGACCCCGCGUAAAACGUGCAUUGAAUUUCUGUUUAAUUGAGUAUCUGCGGCCCGCCCGUACACCUGGGCCCACCUGAACAGAACAGAACAGCGAAUUCAAAUCUGAAUCCACACAACGCAACGGAAUGCAAAUCGAAUCAUUCAUCAGCCAAUUAAUCUCUCCAUCUUCGAUACGUGGAGCAGGACAACAGCCAACCAGAGCAUGGACAUCGCUCACCAAAAUUCAUUUCUAAGUAGAUAACAUCAAAACGCAGGACCUCAACUGUAGGAAAUCGAGAAAUAGCACCUCAGCUGUAGGGAAUCGAGAAAUAAGUUAGUCUUAUGUCUCUUGAUCAAAACCUGAAAACAACAUUUUUGUUAUCCAUUUUAAUUUAAGUCUUGAGCGG